rnacentral:rRNA from 1 species
CAGCCGCCGCGGGAAUACGUAGGUGGCAAGCGUUGUCCGGAAUUAUUGGGCGUAAAGCGCGCGCAGGUGGUUUAAUAAGUCUGAUGUGAAAGCCCACGGCUCAACCGUGGAGGGUCAUUGGAAACUGUUAAACUUGAGUGCAGGAGAGAAAAGUGGAAUUCCUAGUGUAGCGGUGAAAUGCGUAGAUAUAUGGAGGAACACCGGUGGCGAAAGCGGCUCUCUGGCUUGUAACUGACACUGAGAGACGAAAGCUAGGGGAGCAAAUGGGAUUAGAUACCCGCGUAGUCCCUGUCUCUUAUAC